UACGGAGGGUGCGAGCGUUGUCCGGAAUCACUGGGCGUAAAGCGCACGUAGGCGGCUUCUUAAGUCAGGGGUGAAAUCCUGGAGCUCAACUCCAGAACUGCCUUUGAUACUGAGUAGCUUGAGUCCGGGAGAGGUGAGUGGAACUGCGAGUGUAGAGGUGAAAUUCGUAGAUAUUCGCAAGAACACCAGUGGCGAAGGCGGCUUCCUGGUCUGCGACUGACGCUGUGGCGCGAAAGCUAGGGGAGCGAACGGG
rnacentral:rRNA from 1 species